CUUCAGUCCAGCCGCCAUGUUGUUCAAACAUGUCUUCACAACUUGCUCCCACACAAACCAAAAAUAAUCACGGUCCUUCUAUACGAGUUGUAAACCAACGCAUGAAGACUAGCCUUUCGUGUGUUAAAAGACUGUCAAGAAAAACAUAUUCUACUUUUGAUUCACAAUAACUCAGGAAAUACUUUGCAGUGUCUUGGGUAUACGUGACCACGAACGGAAUCUGAAAAGAUUUCCUUCCGAAACAAAGACACUAUAAAGAAUUAAAUGUCGGACGAUGUUUGCAUUGACACGUAGUACAUCCACGCGUCUUCUCUUCCCGAUCCUAAUGUCAUUCGAAGCCGAGUUCAUAAUUUAUUUUUUCUGUAAUAUUCUUCUUUCUUCUGUAUGUUUUCAAAAUGAAUUAAUAAAUGCUGAAAUUGA